GAACGCACAUUGCGCCCGCCAGUAUUCUGGCGGGCAUGCCUGUUCGAGCGUCAUUUCAACCAUCAAGCCCCCGGGCUUGCGUUGGGGCCCUGCGGCUGCCGCAGACUCCUAAAAUCAGUGGCGGGCUCGCUGUCACACCGAGCGCAGUAGCGAUAUCUCGCUCUGGGCGUGGCGCGGGUGCUUGCCGUAAAACAAACCACACAGCAAGGUUGACCUCGGAUCAGGUAGGAAUACCCGCUGAACUUAAG
rnacentral:misc_RNA from 1 species